rnacentral:rRNA from 1 species
UGGGGAAUAUUGGACAAUGGGCGCAAGCCUGAUCCAGCAAUGCCGCGUGAGUGAUGAAGGCCUUAGGGUUGUAAAGCUCUUUCGCACGCGACGAUGAUGACGGUAGCGUGAGAAGAAGCCCCGGCUAACUUCGUGCCAGCAGCCGCGGUAAUACGAAGGGGGCUAGCGUUGUUCGGAAUUACUGGGCGUAAAGGGCGCGUAGGCGGCCUGUUUAGUCAGAAGUGAAAGCCCCGGGCUCAACCUGGGAAUAGCUUUUGAUACUGGCAGGCUUGAGUUCCGGAGAGGAUGGUGGAAUUCCAAGUGUAGAGGUGAAAUUCGUAGAUAUUGGGAAGAACACCGGUGGCGAAGGCGGCCAUCUGGACGGACACUGACGCUGAGGCGCGAAAGCGUGGGGAGCAAACA